ensembl:lncRNA
CCCUUUUCCCUGACUUCCUAGCGAGUCAUCGAGCUGUGGGGUGGGGGGAAAGACGUCCUCCCGCACUCCGCCGCUCCUGAGGCAGCGCUCCGGGCAAGGGGCAGGUGCUCCUCAGCCUGCUAAGAUUAACGUUCAGCUCGGGACCGUCUUAACUCUCUUGCUCUCCAAGUAAAAUUUGCAAAGGUUUGAGAAGAGGAAGUUGAUAUAUAAGAAGAGUUAAAUCAAAUUUAAAAUGGGAAGCAAGAGGGAAGGCACCCGCCGAACUGAAAACCGGCUUUGAGACCAACAACAACAAAAAUUUUGGGGAUCCUGCUAACAGAUUGAACGGUGGUCGUUUAUUCAUAUAUGCUGCAUAAGACUAUUCGAUUAAAGUAAAGAAAUAAAAUUAACUUCCGCGUUUCUAUAACAGCCGUCAUAACAUUUUUCUAUCGUCAGUCUUGAUCGUUUGCGUUUUUAUAACCUUUCCCCUUCCAUUGUAAUGAAUAUCUGUUAGAACACCAGCCACUGUAAAAGCCAGAUUGCAAGAUUGAGGGGAUUAUUGUUAUCGUCUGGGAUGAUGAGCCUGGGAUCCUAUCCGGCAAUCGUGAGCGGUACCGGCUGCUCCUUCUUACUUUCGCCAAACCUGCACAGGCAAUUUGAAUAAUUUAAAAUAGUUCCCAAACAGCAAAGCUCAGCAGCUACGCAAAGAAACAAGGAUGGAAAACACCCCCCUCAGCCACAGAGAAGUGUCCACCCUUUUGAGUGGAGGAAUUAUACAAAUCAGAGGGAAGAUAAGGACAAAAGCAGUUCAUCACGGUUUAUCCCGCCUCUGCAAUGUUCUAGACGACUUAACUUGGAGCGCUAAAAUAGACCCGCAUUUGUCCCUUUACAACUCAAUUGCUGUAAGAUACACGGAGACUGCAUCACUUUAAAUUGGAGUGUCAAUUGUUUUGCGGUGGUGGUGCUGGAUUUUUGUUAUUGCUCAGUCACUAAAGCAAGAAAAAUCUAUAUACAGCUUGUCAAAUUUAUCCCUAUUGUAUUUCGCCCCCUGCUGGUAUGGGAGCUUGUAGUUCGUGCUCAAUCUCUCAGCAGAGUCCGACUCUUUGCGACUUCAUGUACUAUAUAGCUCGCCCGACUCCUCUGUCCAUGGGAUUUCCCAGGCAAGAAUACUGGAGCAGGUUGACAUUUGCUUCUCCAGGGGAUCCUCCCUAUCCAAGG